UACAGAGGAGCCAAGCGUUGUCCGGAUUGACUGGGCGUAAAGCGCACGCAGGCGGGGGUGCGCGUGGGGUGUGAAAUCUGGCCGCUUAACGGCCAGGCGCCAUCCCAUACGGCACGCCUGGAGCCUUGCAGAGGUCGGUGGAAUUGCCGGUGUAGUGGUGAAAUGCGUAGAGAUCGGCAGGAACACCCAGGGGGAAACCAGCCGACUGGGCAUCUGCUGACGCUGAGGUGCGAGAGCGUGGGGAGCGAACAG
rnacentral:rRNA from 1 species